UACGUAGGGUGCAAGCGUUGUCCGGAAUUAUUGGGCGUAAAGAGCUUGUAGGCGGUUUGUCGCGUCUGCUGUGAAAAUCCGGGGCUCAACCCCGGACUUGCAGUGGGUACGGGCAGACUAGAGUGUGGUAGGGGGAGACUGGAAUUCCUGGUGUAGCGGUGAAAUGCGCAGAUAUCAGGAGGAACACCGAUGGCGAAGGCAGGUCUCUGGGCCACUACUGACGCUGAGGAGCGAAAGCGUGGGGAGCGAACAGG
rnacentral:rRNA from 1 species